ACGCUGGCCGAACGCAGGCUUGAAUCCGUGGGUAACCCGGCAGGACGCCGGGUUAGCCGUCCUGGGCCAAGGAUGGCCCAUGACGGCGGCCCACGGAUUCAAGCCUGCGUUCGGGCAUACC
rfam:Pseudomonas sp. 1 R 17 genome assembly PSEFL294_LIB5394, contig: PSEFL294_LIB5394_000057